rnacentral:lncRNA from 1 species
GGGGGGGAGAAAGGCUUUUCUGUUUUGGUGCUUUCUCAUAAAAGCCUGACACAUUUGCCUUCCCUUUCAGGGAAUUGAUUUGAGCUUGUUUAAAAAUGAAGCUUGCAGCACGGCGUAGCGGCUUCAUGGGGCUGUAUAAAAACUGAUCUGAUAAUAUUUUAUUCAUCCUUCUCUCCCCUUCCUUUUGCUCUGGAAAUUCCAGGAGCUACUGGCAGUCUCUGCAGGCAGCUCGGGGAGAGGAGCAAGAAUCCCCUUUUAGAAAGCAAUUACACAUGCAAGUCACAUCAGUUCAAGCCAAACUGUGAGCCAGAUCCUGUAGCUGAUAAAACAGCUCUGCAAUACUCCAGGAGGGAGAAAGAUAAUACCGGAUUUCUAGGCCAGCUCCUUGGCGGAUGUGAAUGGGUAUCAGAAUGGUGAAGAAAGUGCAGUGGCUCCAAUUUUCACCAGAGGAGGAUCCGGCCUGUUUAAUCUGUUUGGAACUACCACUCAACUUCAAAGUGUAAUGGAACCACACAGCUGUGUUUGCAGAGUCCCUGAGCUGGGUCCAGGCACUCUUUGGGGCACGGAUUACAGAGCUGCUGGAGGACUAGCUGGCUUCAGCACAGAGCCUGAGGGUGCAAUCCAUACUCCAUCAGAUCUAAUCUGUAUCCCGUGUGUCCCGGAGGGGUUCUCUGCUCUGCCAUGAUGGCUCAUGUAAGUAUCCCUGUCGCUGGGCUCCACAUCCUGGUGUGGUCUCCCUAUGGCCACCUCUAUUGUGGCUAUGCAGGGAAGAACCCACCCCCGGCUGCCUUAGAUCGCCUUUGACUGUGGCUCUGGGUGCGGUGAGGGAGAAGCACAAAUCGGUGGGGAAG